GGAGUCAUGGCAUCACCAGCUGUCUUCUCACUCAGCUCAAGGGCUCCAGCAAUAAUAGUGGUUUCAUCGUGUGUCAGUUCUCCACCCUUUCCAGCCUCAUUACCGUGCAAAUUGACAAGUGUUUUCAGCUCAGCUCUACGGAAAAGAGCUACACGUCCAUGGCCCAGAAGAAAGUCUAGUAGCUUGCUGAUUGGAUAUGCAACAGGGAAGCAAAUCCAAACAAGAACACGGACAAAAGGAGCAACUGUUGAUCCAAUUGCCAACCCAUACCGAGAGCAAACAGAUUGGGGUAUAAUCUCGCCAAAUAGAAGAAUCAAUGUCACUGAGAUUAGAAUAGCUCCCCAAGCUGUAACCAGGCUAUCAAGGAAAAUAGGAAGUGCCUCCAUGGCUGCCGCAUUGCAUAUCAGUAGGGUGCAAAGCAAUAAGUGCUGGUUUUUAACAACUGGCAAUAUCUUUGCGGCGUGUAUGCGGUCCUUGGGGGUACCGGACUUGGCAAGGACUUCGAGAUCGACAAGGCUCAUGGACAUGAGGCCGAGGGUGAGACCGGACAUCAAACCGGCGAAGAGGACCAAGAGAACGAUGAUGAGUAUGUGGAUGAAGAAAUUGGGGCUGCAGCAUUCGUAUUCGACGGCCAUUCAAUCCGGCCGACGGUGAGUUGAGGAAAUAGGAAGUUCGAGA
rnacentral:misc_RNA from 1 species